UAGAAGAAACAAUGCUAAAAUAAGUAAUAAGGGAGCACCAGACUCCCUCCAGACAUAAGUGUAAGUCAAAACGGACUAACCAUUGACAAUUAACGGACCCAAAACUGAGGGGAAAACAACAAAACAAAUUAAACAAGAAAACCCUGUAGAAAACAACCGUUAACCCAACACAGGAAUGUCACAAAGGAAAGACUAAAAGGAGAAGAAGGAACUCGGCAAACAUAAACCCCGCCUGUUUACCAAAAACAUCGCCUCUUGCUAACAAAGUAUGUAUUAGAGGUCCCGCCUGCCCUGUGACCACUGUGUUUAACGGCCGCGGUAUUAUAACCGUGCGAAGGUAGCGUAAUCACUUGUCUUUUAAAUGAAGACCUGUAUGAAUGGCACCACGAGGGUUUGACUGUCUCCUUCCCCCAGUCAAUGAAAUUGAUCUGCCCGUGCAGAAGCGGGCAUAAGAACAUAAGACGAGAAGACCCUAUGGAGCUUUAGGCUAAAGAUCAAACAUGUAAGAAAACCCGACAAUUACAAAAGACCUAAAAUGAUUUAAACUAAAUGUAAAAAUGAUCAAAAUGCCUUCGGUUGGGGCGACCACGGGGGAAAACAAAGCCCCCGCAUGGAAUGAAAACAUAUUCCUAAACUAAGAAGUACACUUCCAAGUAACAGAAAAUCUGACCAAAAAUGACCCAGGAUAUAACAACCUGAUCAAUGAACCAAGUUACCCUAGGGAUAACAGCGCAAUCCUUUCCCAGAGUCCUUAUCGACGAAAGGGUUUACGACCUCGAUGUUGGAUCAGGACAUCCUAAUGGUGAAGCCGCUAUUAAGGGUUCGUUUGUUCAACGAUUAACAGUCCUACGUGAUCUGAGUUCAGACCGGAGUAAUCCAGGUCGGUUUCUAUCUAUGACUUUACUUCUUCCCAGUACGAAAGGACCGGAAAAAGGAGGCCUAUGCUAAAAGCAAGCCUCAACUCAACUCUCUGAAAACAAAUAAAAAGG
rnacentral:rRNA from 1 species